rnacentral:tRNA from 1 species
GCGCCAUUAGCUCAGCUGGUAGAGCAACUGACUCUUAAUCAGUGGGUCGAAGGUUCGAGCCCUUCAUGGCGCA